ensembl:snoRNA
AAUCUCAUAAACUGUGUUCUUGCACUGAUUAUAUAGAAAGAGAAGGCAGAGUAAGCUCUUCCUUAUACACUUUAGCCCAGGUCUUGUGCCUGGUCUGUACUGUGAAUGGAGAGACACGG